GGUAGUGUGGUAUAGUGGUUUGAGCAUUGGACUAUGACUUUAGUGACCAGGGUUCAAAUCCCUUCUUGGCCA